rnacentral:rRNA from 1 species
AUGAGUCCACCAUACCUACCUAUAUACGGUAUCUACCUUCCGUUCCAAGUAAAUUUGUAUGUGCCAAACUCUAAACCUUCAAAUAAACAUUCUGUUUUGUAUGCUCGAAUAGCUCAUGUAUCAACUAGGGCUGUCUGUAUCUUCCAUGCUAGGCGGGUUAUUCUCAAGAGGAGUGGACUCCGCUCCUCACUCACGAGAAAAUGGCUGGUCACCGGGAUGCCCAGUCCCAUGCUUUAUGCAAAUCAAAUCAAAAUAACUACAGACAAAACUCCCCCGGGACUCUUGUUAGUUGGAGGCACUCGUUGUUUCGAGCAAGCCAUGGAUUUAUGCUUGUUGGUGGAGGGGGAGUAUAAACUUUACCAUUCUAUUUGGGAACCGCCUAUAAUGUGUGUAGCAUGGAAGAUAUCGAGAUCUCUUGGUUGUUAUGUUGACAAUGAAAGUAUACCGCUCAAAAUUUUAUUCAUAUCUAUUUCAAAACCGAGCUCUGGCACCUCUACAAAUUCCCGCUUCCCUCUGCGAAGGGCCUAUCUAUUUACUUUUAUGUUGAGUCAUCAUCCUCUUAUUAAAAAUCACUAG